CUCCGUCUAUCAUGUGCUUAGGAUAUGAUCACACUGUGCUCAGAGGAGCUGCAGCAUGCAUCAAAUGCAGGUUAUUCUACAAAGUGCACGGUGUGUUGUCCGCACACCCCACCCCACCUCGCUUUUUAUUUUGAACGGGAUAUUUGAGGGGGAUCGUGUUUGACGACGAGUCACCACGGACCACUCAUUUCUUUUGACUCACCUCCGUAGAAAUGAUGAAGAACUGGAGCUGCGAAAGACGCCGCGUAUACGGCAGGAGGAGGACAUCCACCUGACAUUUGGAAUUUUCUUUUCACUGCACCUGUCCGAGGUCUGACGAAGACCACCCGGAGAGGAACCCGGAAACAAAUGCCAUUGCGACGCCGGUCCUCGGGCUAACACGUAGAGGAUAUUCAGCAGAUCGCAAAGGUGUGUCCCUCCUGCUCAACAACUUGGAGUGAAGACGUCAUGUGUGCUUUGUGAUGUUGGUGUCCUAUAAUAACUCCGCAAGAGUUUGCACCUGUGCCUGUGCUGAUAAGAAUCAAUGUAUUUCUGUUCAUGUUUUCAUCAAGCAAUUUGCUCAACUCGACCGUUUUUUUCUGUUGACAGCUCAAUAAAACCGCUUUUUAAGACCAGACAUCAUAACUACAACAACGACACAAUAUAUUGUACCUGUAUAUUGUACCUGUGCCUGUGCUGAUGGCUAUCAAUGUAUUUCUGUUCACAUUUUCAUGAAGCAAUUUGGUAAACUUGACUGUUUGUCUGUUGACAGCGAAAUAAAACCACUUUUUUUUUAAGACCA